rnacentral:rRNA from 1 species
UCUAUUUGAAGAUAUAAAGAGUCUAACCUGCCCACUGAAAAAAUUAAAGGGCCGCAGUAAUUUUAACUGUGCAAAGGUAGCAUAAUCAUUAGGUUUUUAAAUGAGAUCUAGAAUGAAUGGUUGGACAAAGGAGAAACUGUCUUUAAUAUAAAUUUUGAAUUUUACUUUUAGGUGAAAAGGCUUAAAUAUUCUAGUGGGACGAUAAGACCCUAUAAAACUUUAUAUUAUAAUUGUAUUUAAUUAAAUUUAUUAUAUAAAGAUUUAAUAUAAUUAUUUAUUAUGUUGGGGUGAUAAAGGUAUAAAUAGUAAUAACUACUUUAAAGAUAUACAUUUAUUUAUGAAUUAUAGUAAUAGAUCCUAAUUAAAGAUUUAAAGUUUAAGUUACUUUAGGGAUAACAGUAUAAUUUUUUUUGAGAGUUCAUAUCGAAAAAAAAGUUUGUAACCUCGAUGUUGAAUUAAAUGUCUGUUUAAUGUAGUUGUUAUGGAAGAGGGUCUGUUCGACCUUNAAAUU